rnacentral:tRNA from 1 species
GGAAAGAACCAAAGUGCAAAUUUGGAGAAGCACCCCAAAAGGGUGCCGGGGCUUCUCCC